rnacentral:rRNA from 3 species
GGGCGCAAGCCUGAUCCAGCCAUACCGCGUGGGUGAAGAAGGCCUUCGGGUUGUAAAGCCCUUUUGUUGGGAAAGAAAUCUUGCCGAUUAAUACCUGGCGAGGAUGACGGUACCCAAAGAAUAAGCACCGGCUAACUUCGUGCCAGCAGCCGCGGUAAUACGAAGGGUGCAAGCGUUACUCGGAAUUACUGGGCGUAAAGCGUGCGUAGGUGGUGGUUUAAGUCUGCUGUGAAAGCCCUGGGCUCAACCUGGGAAUUGCAGUGGAUACUGGGUCACUAGAGUGUGGUAGAGGGAUGCGGAAUUUCCGGUGUAGCAGUGAAAUGCGUAGAGAUCGGAAGGAACAUCCGUGGCGAAGGCGGCAUCCUGGGCCAACACUGACACUGAGGCACGAAAGCGUGGGGAGCAAACAGGAUUAGAUACCCUGGUAGUCCACGCCCUAAACGAUGCGAACUGGAUGUUGGGUGCAACUUGGCACCCAGUAUCGAAGCUAACGCGUUAAGUUCGCCGCCUGGGGA